rnacentral:rRNA from 1 species
CGGGGGGGGCAAGCGUUGUUCGGAAUUACUGGGCGUAAAGGGCGCGUAGGCGGUGCUCUAAGUCGGAUGUGAAAACUCUGGGCUCAACCCAGAGCCUGCAUCCGAAACUGGAGUGCUAGAGUUCUGGAGGGGGUAGCGGAAUUCCUGGUGUAGCGGUGAAAUGCGUAGAUAUCAGGAGGAACACCGGUGGCGAAGGCGGCUACCUGGACAGAAACUGACGCUGAGGCGCGAAAGCUAGGGGAGCAAACAGGAUUAGAUACCCUGGUAGUCCUAGCCCUAAACGAUGGAUACUUGGUGUGACUGGGAUUGAAUCCAGUCGUGCCGAAGCUAACGCAUUAAGUAUCCCGCCUGGGGAGUACGGUCGCAAGGCUG